rnacentral:rRNA from 1 species
UAGGGAAUCUUCGGCAAUGGACGGAAGUCUGACCGAGCAACGCCGCGUGAGUGAAGAAGGUUUUCGGUUCGUAAAGCUCUGUUGUUAGAGAAGAACGUUGGUAGGAGUGGAAAAUCUACCAAGUGACGGUAACUAACCAGAAAGGGACGGCUAACUACGUGCCAGCAGCCGCGGUAAUACGUAGGUCUUGAGCGUUGUCCGGAUGUAUUGGGCGUAAAGCGAGCGCAGGAGGUUCUUUAAGUCUGAAGUUAAAGGCAGUGGCUUAACCAAUGUACGCUUUGGAUACUGGAGGAGUUGAGUGCAGGAGGGGAGAGAGGUAUUCCAGGAGUAGCGGUGAAAUGCGUAGAUAUAUGGAGGAACACCGGUGGAGAAAGCGGCUCUCUGGUCUGUAACUGACGCGGAGACUAGAAAGCGUGAGGAGAAAACAGG